rnacentral:rRNA from 1 species
AUUGAACGCUGGCGGCAUGCCUAACACAUGCAAGUCGAACGGUAACGGGCCUUUUGGUGCCGGCGUGUGGGGCGCGGGGGUGUAUUACACCGGAGAGUGUCCCAGCGUGGGGGAUAACGAGUCGGAAGCUUUGCUAAUACCGCAUACGAUCUCCGGAUGAGAGCAGGGGAGCGCAUGGGCUUGCGCGGUCGGAGCGGCCGAUGGCUGAUUAGGUAGUUGGUGGGAUAAAAGCUUACCAAGCCGACGAUCUGUAGCUGGUCUGAGAGGAUGAUCAGCCACACUGGAACUGAGACACGGUCCAGACUCCUACGGGAGGCAGCAGUGGGGAAUUUUGGACAAUGGGCGCAAGCCUGAUCCAGCCAUGCCGCGUGUGUGAUGAAGGCCUUCGGAUUGUAAAGUGCUUUUGUACGGAACGAAAAGCAUUCUGUUAAUACAGGGCGGUCAUGACGGUACCGUAAGAAUAAGCACCGGCUAACUACGUG